rnacentral:lncRNA from 10 species
AGAGAAACCUGUGAAACUCGGAAAUUCCCUCUGGGGGAGGUGUGGCCAGCUCCCAGGCACCACCUCCGCGGAAUCUCUCCAAUCAUAACAAGAAGAAGGAAAACAAGCAGUUAUCCAGUGCUUUCUCUAUGCCAGCCAUCACGCUCCACAAGUAUUAUGUCGUUAAAAGUUCCCAACAGCCUUAUGAGAUGGGCACUGUCAUUCUCCCCACUUUGUGGAUAAGGAAAUAAAGCAGUCGCAUAAAUUGGUCUGGGGUCACCCUUGGUUUCCCAUUGGAGUGUAGGCUUCCUGAGGUUAGAAGUUGUUUUUAUGGGCUG